AGUGAACGCUGGCGGUAGGCCUAACACAUGCAAGUCGAACGGCAGCACAGUAAGAGCUUGCUCUUACGGGUGGCGAGUGGCGGACGGGUGAGGAAUACAUCGGAAUCUACUUUUUCGUGGGGGAUAACGUAGGGAAACUUACGCUAAUACCGCAUACGACCUACGGGUGAAAGCAGGGGAUCUUCGGACCUUGCGCGAUUGAAUGAGCCGAUGCCGGAUUAGCUAGUUGGCGGGGUAAAGGCCCACCAAGGCGACGAUCCGUAGCUGGUCUGAGAGGAUGAUCAGCCACACUGGAACUGAGACACGGUCCGGACUCCUACGGGAGGCAGCAGUGGGGAAUAUUGGACAAUGGGCGCAAGCCUGAUCCAGCCAUACCGCGUGGGUGCAGAAGGCCUUCGGGUUGUAAAGCCCUUUUGUUGGGAAAGAAAAGCAGCAGGUUAAUACCCCGCUGUUCUGACGGUACCCAAAGAAUAAGCACCGGCGAACUUCGUG
rnacentral:rRNA from 1 species